UCAGGUGAUUAUGGCAAAGAGGUCACACCCGUUCCCAUACCGAACACGGCAGUUAAGCUCUUUUGCGUCGAUGGUAGUUGGGGGUUUCCCCCUGUGAGAGUAGAACGUCGCCUGGU
rnacentral:rRNA from 6 species